rnacentral:rRNA from 1 species
UCAAGUGAAUAAGUGCAUCAGGUGGAUGCCUUGGCGAUGAUAGGCGACGAAGGACGUGUAAGCCUGCGAAAAGCGUGGGGGAGCUGGCAAUAAAGCUAUGAUCCCGCGAUGUCCGAAUGGGGAAACCCACCUCUUAGGAGGUAUCCUUAUCUGAAUACAUAGGAUAAGCGAAGCGAACCCGGAGAACUGAACCAUCUAAGUACCCGGAGGAAAAGAAAUCAACCGAGAUUCCGCAAGUAGUGGCGAGCGAACGCGGAGGAGCCUGUACGUGAUAACUGUCGAGAUAGAAGAACAAGCUGGGAAGCUUGACCAUAGUGGGUGAUAGUCCCGUAUUCGAAAUCUCAAUAGUGGUACUAAGCGUACGAAAAGUAGGGCGGGACACGUGAAAUCCUGUCUGAAUAUGGGGGGACCAUCCUCCAAGGCUAAAUACUCAUCAUCGACCGAUAGUGAACCAGUACCGUGAGGGAAAGGCGAAAAGAACCCCGGGAGGGGAGUGAAAUAGAACCUGAAACCUGAUGCAUACAAACAGUGGGAGCACCCUUGUGGUGUGACUGCGUACCUUUUGUAUAAUGGGUCAACGACUUACAUUCAGUAGCGAGCUUAACCGAAUAGGGGAGGCGUAGGGAAACCGAGUCUUAAUAGGGCGAACAGUUGCUGGGUGUAGACCCGAAACCGAGUGAUCUAUCCAUGGCCAGGUUGAAGGUGCCGUAACAGGUACUGGAGGACCGAACCCACGCAUGUUGCAAAAUGCGGGGAUGAGCUGUGGAUAGGGGUGAAAGGCUAAACAAACUCGGAGAUAGCUGGUUCUCCCCGAAAACUAUUUAGGUAGUGCCUCGAGCAAGACACUGAUGGGGGUAAAGCACUGUUAUGGCUAGGGGGUUAUUGCAACUUACCAACCCAUGGCAAACUAAGAAUACCAUCAAGUGGUUCCUCGGGAGACAGACAGCGGGUGCUAACGUCCGUUGUCAAGAGGGAAACAACCCAGACCGCCAGCUAAGGUCCCAAAUGAUAGAUUAAGUGGUAAACGAAGUGGGAAGGCCCAGACAGCCAGGAUGUUGGCUUAGAAGCAGCCAUCAUUUAAAGAAAGCGUAAUAGCUCACUGGUCGAGUCGUCCUGCGCGGAAGAUGUAACGGGGCUCAAAUCUAUAACCGAAGCUGCGGAUGCCAGUUUACUGGCAUGGUAGGGGAGCGUUCUGUAGGCCGAUGAAGGUGCAUUGUAAAGUGUGCUGGAGGUAUCAGAAGUGCGAAUGUUGACAUGAGUAGCGAUAAAGCGGGUGAAAAGCCCGCUCGCCGAAAGCCCAAGGUUUCCUACGCAACGUUCAUCGGCGUAGGGUGAGUCGGCCCCUAAGGCGAGGCAGAAAUGCGUAGUCGAUGGGAAACAGGUUAAUAUUCCUGUACUUGAUUCAAAUGCGAUGUGGGGACGGAGAAGGUUAGGUUAGCAAGCUGUUGGAAUAGCUUGUUUAAGCCGGUAGGUGGAAGACUUAGGCAAAUCCGGGUCUUCUUAACACCGAGAAGUGAUGACGAGUGUCUACGGACAUGAAGUAACCGAUACCACGCUUCCAGGAAAAGCCACUAAGCUUCAGUUUGAAUCGAACCGUACCGCAAACCGACACAGGUGGGCAGGAUGAGAAUUCUAAGGCGCUUGAGAGAACUCAGGAGAAGGAACUCGGCAAAUUGAUACCGUAACUUCGGGAGAAGGUAUGCCCUCUAAGGUCAAGGACUUGCUCCGUAAGCCCUGGAGGGUCGCAGAGAAUAGGUGGCUGCGACUGUUUAUUAAAAACACAGCACUCUGCUAACACGAAAGUGGACGUAUAGGGUGUGACGCCUGCCCGGUGCUGGAAGGUUAAUUGAAGAUGUGCAAGCAUCGGAUCGAAGCCCCAGUAAACGGCGGCCGUAACUAUAACGGUCCUAAGGUAGCGAAAUUCCUUGUCGGGU